rnacentral:rRNA from 1 species
GUACACGCUGUGACUAGCAUAUCAAUAAGCGGAGGAAAAGAAACUAACAAGGAUUCCCUCAGUAACGGCGAGUGAAGCGGGAAGCAGCUCAAAUUUGAAAUCUUGAAAGGUCACCUUUCACGAAUUGUAGUUUAAAGAAGUGUUUUCUGUUACGAUCGUAAUAUAAGUUCUUUGGAAUAGGACAUCACAGAGGGUGAGAAUCCCGUCUAUGAUUGCGAUUUGUAGCUUUGUGAUACACUUUCAAAGAGUCGGGUUGUUUGGGAAUGCAGCCCAAAACGGGAGGUAAAUUUCUUCUAAGGCUAAAUAUUGGCGAGAGACCGAUAGCGAACAAGUACCGUGAGGGAAAGAUGAAAAGAACUUUGAAAAGAGAGUUAAAUAGUACGUGAAAUUGUCAAAAGGGAAGCGUUUAACACCAGUGUUGUUUUCUGAAAAUCAACCUCUGUUAGCUUUAUGCAUGUUUGUUUAGACCUAAUCAGCUAUCUUGCAUGUUCUAUUGUUUGCAGUGGUGCACUUUUCAGUUUACAGGUCAACAUCAGUUUUUUUUACCGUAAAAAAGUUAAAGAAAGGUAGCUCAUGGCUCCGGUCGUGAGUGUUAUAGUCUUUUUCCUAUGCGGUAGGAGAGACUGAGGUCUGCAGUGUAGGCUAUUUGGCUAGAUACUCAGGUGCUAUGUGAUACCAUUUCAUAAACAACUUGUUGAUUAUGUUUUGUCUAUUGCAUACUCGCUUGUACUAUCAUACCUACGCUUAGGAUGUUGAACUACUGAGACAUAGA